UGGGGAAUAUUGCACAAAUGGGGGAAACCCGUAGAUGCAGCGACGCCGCGUGAGUGAUGAAGGUCUUCGGAUUGUAAAAAUACUUUUAUUCAAGGACGAAGAAGUGACGGUACUUGAUGAAUAAGCUCCGGCUAACUACGUGCCAGCAGCCGCGGUAAUACGUAGGGAGCAAGCGUUAUCCGGAUUUACUGGGUGUAAAGGGCGAGUAGGCGGAUUGGCAAGUUGGGAGUGAAAUGUCGGGGCUUAACCCCGGAACUGCUUCCAAAACUGUUGAUCUUGAGUGAUGGAGAGGCAGGCGGAAUUCCCAGUGUAGCGGUGAAAUGCGUAGAUAUUGGGAGGAACACCAGUGGCGAAGGCGGCCUGCUGGACAUUAACUGACGCUGAGGAGCGAAAGCGUGGGGAGCAAACAGGAUUAGAUACCCUGGUAGU
rnacentral:rRNA from 1 species